GCGGACGUGGUGGAAUUGGUAGACACACAGGAUUUAGGUUCCAGCGCCGCAAGGCGUGAGAGUUCGAGUCUCUCCGUCCGCACCA
rnacentral:tRNA from 1 species